rnacentral:lncRNA from 1 species
GUUCUCUCCCUCCAUUCCUUAAGCCCACAGCCGCUUCUUUCCACUUUUAUCUUAGAGUUAGGAUAUGGCAUUAGGCACACUGAAUUUUAUAGCUAUGAUUAUUGUCCUUGAGUGUAAAAAUAUUAUCAUAGCUUUCUUUUUCCCAUAAAAUCAGACAAGGAUAUAUAUGAUAAUGCCUCCAGAUGUGUGCCUGUGCUCACAUACAACAGCACAUGUACAGCAACACACACACACACACACACACACACACACACACACACACACACACACAUACUGCACGUUGGGAUCCUUUAAAGAGUCAUCUGAUAUAUAACAUUCUGUUAAGCAGUGGUUUGAAGGCUUAAUGAAAUAAUCACUGACCUGAACUAAAUUUGUUUCCUUUAGUUGUACAUUACAAGUGGGAGAGCAGCAAAUUAAUCUCAGAACCUGAAUUCAAAUCUCCUAUGAGUAUGAGAUUUUAUUGCUACUAGGAGGUUAACUUAAUUCCAAUUUGUUCUUAAUGAUUGAUAGAAUAUUGAUUAUUGUAGGUCAUUUAUCUUUUCAAGGCUCAAAGGUCAAAAAAUAUAGAGGGACGUCUGGUAAAAUCUUACUGCUAUAUUCACAAAGGAGCCAAUACAGUUUUUAAAAAGAAAGGACUCUUGGUAAAUUUAAUCUUGAUUACUACACAAAUGAUAUGAUUUCAAUUUGUCUCUGAGAUAAGCUUUUGAUCUUUACCAAUGUCAUAUCAAUGCCUUUCAAAUGGUGAAACCAGUCUUUUAUGUAUUUAUUGGUUAGACAACUUAUAUGAAAAUUAUAAAACAGACUUUAAUGAAAUUCAGUUAGCUUACUUCAUCAAUAACAAAGACAGGAAAUGAAAUAAAAAGAAGCAAGUUAAUGAACUACAGAAAAUAUGAACUUAUAAAUCCUUUAUAACUACAUAUAAUCCUGAUUUAAUUUGAGGACUCAGAAUUCCAGGUAUUCUUAGAGAAAUCUGUGACUAAUGCAGCUUAAAAGGUCUCAAACUGACAUGGAACAAUUUUUCUCAGUGUUUCUCAUAUACUGCGAUGUGUCAAAUGCUGACACAGAUUAACAAUAAUUUAUAAAUUGACAUUGCAGCAACUUUUUUAACCUUACACUUGGGCAAAAAUGGAAACAAAAGCCUUUGGAGUCAAUACUAACCAAAUUUACUUUAUGAGCAGAAACCACAGGGCUUCUGUUUCACCUUUAAGCUGUUUGCCAGUUUAAGAAAUGCUAGCGUAAGGAUCAAUUUGUGAGAAAAGCAAGGAUCAAAGAGGUUAAAGUAGGAUAUUUCUUUAGCUUAUACUUUGUUUUGUUUUCAAUAUCACAUGGCAACUUUUUUUUUUUAAUGUUAAGUUUGGUGAUAGACUGGAAGAGGUAGAGAUGGGACAGUACGGGAAUGUAUGUGUAUUUGUUUCUAUAAUAGGGAUGUGGAAUUAGAACACAUAUUAUAAUGCAUGUUUUAGGAAUAAUUUAGACACAUUUUAGUAUGAAGCUACAAAUGUAUUCAUCCUCUGAAAUUCUAGAAGUUCCAUGCAGCCCUGUGUUUUACAUUGUUUUUGCCAAGUCAAUGAUGAUAAUUGUACCAAAAGGAAAUCAUGCAGAAGACAGAGAAAGAGCUAUUGAACCACAACUUUAUUUAUAAGUAUGAGAAGACUUCAAAUUUAAGACAAAGUUUUGGAUAAUUUUUUAAGGAUUAUGUGCAUCUUAGGAGUCCAAUCAGUAGUCGGUGAAGUGCUCUAUCUUCAUAAAUGCCCAUGACUCACCACCAGCCAUUAAAAUCAUGGCAGUUAUAGGAUCCCCAAAAGCCUCAGGGAUAAAUUAUACAUUGGCAUUGUGACAGACAGGCCUAAUAGGUCUUUCCCACCAGUAAUAAAUAUGUUCCUGCACUCUAUGCCAAGGUACAUUUUACUGACUUCCUUUGAUACCAUGGUGAAGCCUCAGUCUUAGUAGUAAAGGAUGUUUCCGUUUAAAGAUGCUUCACGGCAAGCAUUAAGCCACUGAGUUAACUGCUCAAGAAGUUCAUGGCAAUACCCUGUACAUCUUAGCAUGACAUUUAGAGACAAUAUGUAGGUGUGUUUAGUAAAGCAAUGCUUAAGCUCUUCCUAGAAGGCAAAUCUCCAGCCCAUUAGUUUUUCAUUACAGUGAAUGCUGGAAGGAAAAGGGCUUGUCAGCCACCCUCCUUGUGUUCCAGGGUUUGGGUGCCUCUCUCCAAUCUCACCCUUCCUAGGCUCAAUCUAAUCCUGUCUGGGUCAAACCACUCUGGCUUGGAUCUGACUUAGGAAAUUUGGUCUGCUCCCAGUACAGAGUUGAAAAACAUUUAAAUGCCACUUUCUACCUUUGGGUUUGAAGACAGUUAAAAUGGGACAUUGGCAGGGGGUGCUAAAUUAAUCUGAACCAAUUAAUCAGGAUAAAACAUGAUUCUUUAUUAGUUAUGGAAUCCAAACUACUGAGAAUUGAUAGAGUCAUCAUAUACUUAAUGCUCCUGAUUAUGAACUAGAUGUGGAAUCUAGUUUUGUUGUAUUUGGUAUGCCCUACCCAAGUUUAGAAAACACAUUAAGGCCUAAUCAAAAUUAGUGAAAUGUAAGCAGAUUUUGGCAGUAGGUCCCUAUUCAGUUACCUUUGCUUGUAAUAUUUCAUCAUCCACAUAUCAGUCACUAUCCUUAGCUAGUGCCCAGGUGCUCCAAAAAAUGCACAGUGGCUAUCAGCAUAAGCUGAUAGAGUUAAUUGUUUUAGAGUUAAUAGAAGAACACAAGCAACCGGUCAUUUGGCUCAAGAACUGAGAAACUUCUUUACAUUCAGACUUUCCUGACACUGCUUACAUUUAAGUAGCAAUUGUAAGGCAUCGCAGCUGGUUCGGCUCCUAGCAGUGACAACAAAGUUGUUAUUGUAUGCAAUUGGUGGCCUUCCUCCCACUGGCCAUGCCUCACCAUAGCGCAGCCAUGCUGUAUGGUGUCUGCACUGCUGUGUGCUGGUGGGGGCAAGCCCCAGAGAGGGAUGGGGGAAGGCAGGAGGCUUGGCACUUACAGGACUGAAUUUCCAGGUUUUCUGGGAAAUUUUCAGAGGUUGUUGAUGGCGUCUGUAUCUAAGCAGAGCAGGGGGUGUGUUCCCCAGUCCAGGUGUGCAGUUGCCAACCUUUGCCAACUAUGAUUAGACAUGGAUUCAUGCAUCUAGAUGUAGUCCAUCAUUUGCAUAUGUAAUUAAUUAUAAUAUGGUUAGUUCUUUCUGAUCUCCCUUUCCUAUAAAUUGAAUUACUCAGGGACUCUCAUAUGACACUAAAAUCUUUUUAAAAAGUACACAUGACAUUUUGAAGGAUAAGACUAACUGCUAUUUAUAGCACUCCAACUUCAAAUUCAGAGCCUUCUGCUGUGAUCAGACAGCAAGGAGUGCCUUCGUCUUUCAGCAAGCAGCCUCAGAAAGCUCGCAGCAACGGCUUCUCUCCUCAAUAGUCUUCAAUGCUCAAUGGUGAUCAUGAAAAUCACGACACCCCAAGUUAAAGACUUCUUCACUGGCACUCAGAAAGGAUGAUUCACUCAUGCAUUCGUUUAUUUAACUCACAUGUGUAUUGAGUACCAACCUACUGUGUGCCAAACCCUGUCUCAGAUGAUCUACAGGUAGCCAUCAAUGUCAUUCCUGGAGUUAUGGGUUGAAACGUGCCCCCCUCAAAUUUAUGUGCUGAAGUCCUAAUCCCCAGAACCUCAGAAUAUGACCUUACUUGGAAAUUCUGUUGUUGCAGAUGUAAUUAGUCAUGAUAAGGUCAUGCUAGAGUAGGGCAGACCCUUCGUUGAAUAUGACUGUGUCCUUACACAAAGGGGAAAUUUAUACACAGAUAGGGACUCGGAGAAUGCCAGUCGAAGAAGAAGACACAGAUCAGGGUGAUACUUCUACAAGCCAAGGAAAGCUGAAGACAGGCAGAAAAACCACUAGCAGCUUGGAAAAGGCGUGGACCAGAGUCUCCCUCCCAGUUCUCAGAAAGAGUCCACUCUGCCAAUACCUUGAUCUCAGACUUCCAGCCUCCAGAGCUGUGAGACAAUACAUGUCUGUUGUUUAGGCCACGCAGCUGAUGGUGCCUUGUUACAGCAGCCUAGGACACAAAUACAUCUGAGUGCCCAGUUUGGGUAGGGUGGGUGCUCUAAGGCUGAGGAUACGCAGUUGGGACCCCCUGCUGCCAGCAGCUCCUAUGGCACCCAGGGCACUCCCUAUGUGAGUAGAUUUCAAACUGAAUUCUGGCUCCUUCCAGGGGUUUAGAUCUUCCCACUGCUUGGCCCUAAAUGUCUGCAGGUGUGCUGAGGUGUUGAUCCUCUCAGCUUUCAAGAUACUUGGGAAAGACCCAGGUGGCUGGGGCCUCCAACUCCCUCCAUUUACUGAAAAUGCCAGAUACCAUUAUCAGUUUUUUCAGACAUGAUGGUAACAUGAUGAAUAAACCCUAGUCUAAGCAAACAAAAAUUAAAAAUCAAGCAUGACUGGGGCCGAUGUCUAUGGUCUUGCAAUUGUUGUAGUAGGCCAGAUUGUGGAAGGGGAGGAUUUAUCUGAGCUGGACUCUAAAUAGGGCAGCUUACUGAAAGGCUCUGGCAGGAACCAAGCAAAGGUUUCCACAUGGUCAAACUGGACUUUUGCAGUCUGGCUGCUGCCCAGUGUGUGGGAGGGGGACAGGAAAUCCAGCUCUUAACAGAAGGCCAAGCAGGCAAGUUGUCACAUUUGGUAGAAGCCAGAAGGGGUGGGAUGUUUCCUCCCCAGUAGUGAAGGGAGGGGCGGGUCCUGUCCAGGACUGAGGGAUCUGCUGCUCUCCUUGGUUCUCAGCUUACUCAAGCC